AGUGCUCUCCAUCCUCACAUUAGUGUUCUGUCUACACAGCAGUCUGAUGAUUAGCAGCAGCAGAAGUGCUGACCUGCCUGCCUUCAUCUGCCUCGUGCUGGACAUUCAAGGCAGGAUCGUGCUCUACGCUGGAUGGUGCACGCGUACGUAUGAAAAGUACACACCUUGAUCAACAAGGAACAAAUUCACAGAUCAACUUUACCACCUGUGUGAGAGAACCCAACAGCCACGCAGCCUCUUCCUCUACAUUUUUUCACGAUCAUGCUGAAGAGAUAACAACGGGAACUCAUACAGCUUCAGUCCUGCAGCAGUUAUUCUGUUCUCAUUUCUUCGCAGAUAUUAUCAUAUUCUAAAAUGUUAUCCCAGGCCACUGUUUAAAAAUAAACAAGCUCCCCGCGAGAGAGAAACCUUC